rnacentral:rRNA from 1 species
AUUGAACGCUGGCGGCAGGCCUAACACAUGCAAGUCGAACGAGUGGCGGACGGGUGAGUAAUAUCUGGGAAACUGCCCGAUGGAGGGGGAGAACUACUGGAAACGGUAGCUAAUACCGCAUACCAUCGGAUGUGCCCAUAUGGGAUUAGCUCGUAGGUGAGGUAACGGCGCACCUAGGCGACGCUCCCUAGCUGGUCUGAGAGGAUGACCAGCCACACGGGGACUUAUACACGGGCCAGAUGCCUACGGGAGGCAGCAGUGGGGAAUAUUGCACAAUGGGCGCAAGCAUGAUGCAGCCAUGCCGCGUGUAUGAAGAAGGCCUUAGGGUUGUAAAGUACUUUCAGCGGGGAGGCGUUACCCGCAGAAGAAGCACCGGCUAACUCCGUGCCAGCAGCCGCGGUAAUAC